CAAUGGACGAAAGUCUGAUGGAGCGACACAGCGUGCAGGAUGAAGGCCCUAUGGGUUGUAAACUGCUGUGGUUAGGGAAGAAAAAGUAGCAUAGGAAAUGAUGCUACCUUGACGGUACCUGAUUAGAAAGCAACGGCUAACUAUGCGCCAGCAGCCGCGGUAAUACAUAGGUUGCAAGCGUUAUCCGAAAUUAUUGGGCGUAAAGCGUCUGUAGGUUGUUUGUUAAGUCUGGCGUUAAAUUUUGGGGCUCAACCCCAAAACGCGUUGGAUACUGGCAGACUAGAGUUAUGUAGAGGUUAGCGGAAUUCCUUGUGAAGCGGUGAAAUGCGUAGAUAUAAGGAAGAACAUCAAUAUGGCGAAGGCAGCUAACUGGGCAUACACUGACACUGAGAGACGAAAGCGUGGGGAGCAAACAGGAUUAGAUACCCUGGUAGUCCACGCCCUAAACGAUGAUCAUUAGUUGAUGGGGAACUCAUCGACGCAGCUAACGCAUUAAAUGAUCCGCCUGAGUAGUACGUUCGCAAGAAUAAAACUUAAAGGAAUUGACGGGGAUCCGCACGAGCGGUGGAGCAUGUGGUUUAAUUUGAUGUUACGCGUAGAACCUUACCCACUCUUGACAUCUUCUGCAAAGCUAUAGAGACAUAGUGGAGGUUAACAGAAUGACAGAUGGUGCAUGGUUGUCGUCAGCUCGUGUCGUGAGAUGUUCGGUUAAGUCCUGCAACGAGCGCAACCCUUAUCCUUAGUUACUACCAUUUAGUUGAGCACUCUAAGGAGACUGCCCGAGUAAUCGGGAGGAAGGUGGGGACGACGUCAAAUCAUCAUGCCUCUUACGAGUGGGGCUACACACGUGCUACAAUGGACGGUACAAAGAGAAGCGAAGUGGUGACAUGGAGCAAACCUCAAAAAACCGUUCUCAGUUCGGAUUGAAGUCUGCAACUC
rnacentral:rRNA from 2 species